rnacentral:rRNA from 1 species
GCUGGCGGCAGGCCUAACACAUGCAAGUCGAACGGAGUUAUAUUGUAGCUUGCUAUGGUANAACNUAGUGGCAGACGGGUGAGUAAUGUAUAGGAAUCUACCUAGUAGUACGGAAUAAUUGUUGGAAACGGCAACUAAUACCGUAUACGCCCUACGGGGGAAAAAUUUAUUGCUAUUAGAUGAGCCUAUAUUAGAUUAGCUAGUUGGUGGAGUAAUAGCCUACCAAGGCAAUGAUCUAUAGCUGAUCUGAGAGGAUGAUCAGCCACACUGGAACUGAGAUACGGUCCAGACUCCUACGGGAGGCAGCAGUGGGGAAUAUUGGACAAUGGGCGAAAGCCUGAUCCAGCCAUGCCGCAUGAGUGAAGAAGGCCUUUGGGUUGUAAAGCUCUUUUAGUGAGGAAGAUAAUGACGGUACUCACAGAAGAAGUCCUGGCUAACUCCGUGCCAGCAGCCGCGGUAAUACGGAGAGGGCUAGCGUUAUUCGGAAUUAUUGGGCGUAAAGGGCGCGUAGGCGGAUUAGUAAGUUAAAAGUGAAAUCCCAAGGCUCAACCUUGGAAUUGCUUUUAAAACUGCUAAUCUAGAGAUUGAAAGAGGAUAGAGGAAUUCCUAGUGUAGAGGUGAAAUUCGUAAAUAUUAGGAGGAACACCAGUGGCGAAGGCGUCUAUCUGGUUCAAAUCUGACGCUGAAGCGCGAAGGCGUGGGGAGCAAACAGGAUUAGAUACCCUGGUAGUCCACGCUG